UCCAUUCUUGGAAAGGUAGAUUUAGCCUCAAGUUGUUUUAGUCUCCAGGAGGCUGCCAGCCCCUCCUCUUAUUUAAUUCUGAGUUUUGGGGGACAGCCUAGAGGGAAUUCCUUUUUUUUUUUUUUUAAUAUAUCCACAUUCUAUUGAAACCUUGAAACUAAAAAUUUAGACUCUUAUCGUCAUCUUAAGUUCUUCAUGCUACUCUUAACCUCCCAAAAAGCAGUAUCUAAGUCACAUACAUGAUGUCUUGGGCAUUUUCUCUCUCAGCCAUGGAGAACUCUGAAAGGAAGAAUCGCUGCUUUUCUCAAGCAAAUCGGUUUCUUG
rnacentral:lncRNA from 1 species